rnacentral:rRNA from 1 species
UAGGGAAUCUUCGGCAAUGGACGAAAGUCUGACCGAGCAACGCCGCGUGAGUGAAGAAGGUUUUCGGAUCGUAAAACUCUGUUGUUAGAGAAGAACAAGGACGUUAGUAACUGAACGUCCCCUGACGGUAUCUAACCAGAAAGCCACGGCUAACUACGUGCCAGCAGCCGCGGUAAUACGUAGGUGGCAAGCGUUGUCCGGAUUUAUUGGGCGUAAAGCGAGCGCAGGCGGUUUCUUAAGUCUGAUGUGAAAGCCCCCGGCUCAACCGGGAAGGGUCAUUGGAAACUGGGAGACUUGAGUGCAGAAGAGGAGAGUGGAAUUCCAUGUGUAGCGGUGAAAUGCGUAGAUAUAUGGAGGAACACCAGUGGCGAAGGCGGCUCUCUGGUCUGUAACUGACGCUGAGGCUCGAAAGCGUGGGGAGCAAACAGGAUUAGAUACCCUGGUAGUCCACGCCGUAACGAUGAGUGCUAAGUGUUGGAGGGUUUCCGCCCUUCAGUGCUGCAGCAAACGCAUUAAGCACUCCGCCUGGGGAGUACGACCGCAAGGUUG